AUGUGGACGGAGGCGGAAACAAACGGGUCACGUGGAUCUGUCGGAGGUUGCCAGGGCCGGGGUGUCUCCAUGACAACACUAGUAGAGGAGCGUGUGUGUGUGUAAAGCGCUGCAGAGGGAAAAGAAAAGGAUGGCAGAAACCGUUGAUGGUAAAAAAGAGGAUGCCGACUACAAAAGAGUGCAAAGCUUUCCGCUCAUCCGGCACACAGAUAUGCCAGAGGAGAUGCGCGUGGAGACUAUGGAGCUCUGCGUCACAGCCUGCGAGAAAUUUGCCUCCAACAAUGAGAGUGCUGCCAAGAUGAUCAAGGAGUCCAUGGAUAAGAAGUUUGGCAGUUCGUGGCAUGUGGUGAUCGGUGAGGGGUUUGGGUUCGAGAUGAACUGAACCUAAAUCAGAUGGUGGGCUGGUACUGUGUGUCUCUGGCUCGCGCUCCUCAUUAACAGCUUGGCUCUCUCUGGGGGACUGCAGGAUCUGCCUGACAUUUUGCUGACCAGGAACAUACCGCAGAGAGACACGAGGGGAAGAGGAAUGUGAGCCAAAGAUCAUUAGAUAGAAGGAAUGCGUCACGCCUGAGAUUUUAUGCUAUGGCAGGAAUUAGGAGACUCAGAUUCCAUAUGCUUCCUCAUCUUCAGCAGUUCCUUCUGAAUUCCAAAUAACAGACCAGCAGUCCAUGUGGAAGAUGAAUAAAUGGAGAGAGUAUAGACAGACAACAAGAAUUAAUAACGUAAUGCACAAGAAAAAGAGAAUAAAAAGGGAAGGGGAUGAAUAUUUAAUAUUCUGUCCCUGAGCUUGACGUCUAGCCUCUUGACACAUACAGUAUUAAUAAACAGGAUGGCAGGAUGCUCUUGUGUAUUUAUGAGUGAAACAGCGGGUUGUUCUCUUGAAAAUGCUUCAAAGGAUUAUAAAGUGUGAUGCUUUGUCAAAUUGAGUUAAAUAAUAUGCAAAAAAAAUAUGGGAAAUAUGAGAUAAAUAUGGGAUUGUGUAAUAUAUUAGUCAAUUUUAACAAGCCAUUUUGUUCCUUAUUUAUUUGCAUACAUGCAUAAUUGAAUGCUCUGGUGGUAUUUGCAAUUGUACAACAUAAUGUUAUACUGAAUCAUGCCUGCUAAAAAAAAAAGUAUGAAACUAUGCAACUUUAAACAUUGAACACAUAACAUCCAUCAAUGGAAGGUGAAAUUGAGUGUGGUGCAAUGUGGGAUACACCUAGUACAAUAUGUUUUGUUAUAUGGGGGGCUAUAAAUUAGCCUACUGUACUUUACACAGUAGGAUAUAAACAGUAGUGGGUAUACUGCUGCAGUAGCAAUGCAAUGUUAUUUUCUGAUCAUAGAUUUUUCUGAUCAUAGAGUCUGCAUACACUAAUCAGUAAUUUAGUACUUUAUUUCAAACAUAGUCAGUGAGUUCUGCACAUUUUGAUCCUGCCACGUCAUGGAAAUUUGCAUACUAAUACCGUCAUGGAAUAGUCUACUAUUUCAAGCAUAGCUUUGCUCUUUUCAUACUUUCAGAGUGUACUUGAUUAAUUAGUAACAUCUCUGUAAUGUGGUUUGUUUGCACUUUAGGGCACAUUUGCAUCUGUUGUGUAACUGGACUUGCAAAAGCCACACGUUCCUGUUAUUACACUGGGGAUCAUCCUCUUUGCGUACUGAAGCCUCUGAAUUAAUGAUGUGGUGGAUGGUGUCUGCGGCGGCGCUCCACACUUUGGAGAUAAUAAAGACAUGUCUGAUCCA